AACGAACGCUGGCGGCAGGCCUAACACAUGCAAGUCGAACGCUCCGCAAGGGGAGUGGCAGACGGGUGAGUAACACGUGGGAACCUACCUCGAGGUGCGGAACAACCAAGGGAAACUUUGGCUAAUACCGCAUGUGCCCUUAGGGGAAAGAUUUAUCGCCUUGGGAUGGGCCCGCGUCGGAUUAGCUAGUUGGUGUGGUAAUGGCGCACCAAGGCGACGAUCCGUAGCUGGUCUGAGAGGAUGAUCAGCCACACUGGGACUGAGACACGGCCCAGACUCCUACGGGAGGCAGCAGUGGGGAAUAUUGGACAAUGGGCGCAAGCCUGAUCCAGCCAUGCCGCGUGUGUGAUGAAGGCCUUAGGGUUGUAAAGCACUUUCGCCGAUGAAGAUAAUGACUGUAGUCGGAGAAGAAGCCCCGGCUAACUUCGUGCCAGCAGCCGCGGUAAU
rnacentral:rRNA from 1 species